UACGAAGGGGGCAAGCGUUGUUCGGAAUUACUGGGCGUAAAGGGUGCGUAGGCGGUUGUUUAAGUCUGUCGUGAAAUCCCCGGGCUCAACCUGGGAAUGGCGAUGGAUACUGGGCAGCUAGAGUGUGUCAGAGGAUGGUGGAAUUCCCGGUGUAGCGGUGAAAUGCGUAGAGAUCGGGAGGAACAUCAGUGGCGAAGGCGGCCAUCUGGGACAACACUGACGCUGAAGCACGAAAGCGUGGGGAGCAAACAGG
rnacentral:rRNA from 1 species